UACAGAGGGUGCGAGCGUUAUUCGGAUUCACUGGGCGUAAAGGGUGCGCAGGCGGCCGUGUGUGUCAGGUGUGAAAGCCCGGAGCUUAACUCCGGAAUUGCGCCUGAAACUACAUGGCUAGAGCAUUGGAGAGGGUAGCGGAAUUCACGGUGUAGCAGUGAAAUGCGUAGAUAUCGUGAGGAACACCAGAGGCGAAGGCGGCUACCUGGACAAUUGCUGACGCUCAGGCACGAAAGCGUGGGGAGCAAAAGGG
rnacentral:rRNA from 1 species